rnacentral:ncRNA from 2 species
CCGGCUUGUUACGCUUCCCGUGCCUCCCGCGGGGGAAGCCGGUGAGAGUCCGGCGCUGUCCCGCAACGGUGUGCGUGGCCCGUGCCGGCCACGCGAGUCCGAUCACCCGCGGCAGGUAGGCAACCCGU